GCCAGACAGUAUUUCCAGUUCUGUUCCGCUACAAAGAGCCAAGGACGGCUUUGUAGAGCCAGGAUUGCUACCUUGGUUUUCUCCCCCAGCUGCCUGGUGAUAACAGCCUGGAGUAUUUUCUUACAGUCAUAUGACUGGUAACUACAAUUUGGAAUAAGACUCCAGAUAGGAAUUUGUGCCAUCUAAUUAGGAAAGGUCAUUGCACUAAUCCUGAGCUGGCAUGGGGAUGGAGAGAGAUGCAUUGGCAAGGUGAAUUUUGUCAUGUGGCAUGCAAGGGCAUGUGGCAAGUCGGUGGUCCCCAACUUCUCUAAGAUAAGAGUCUAUAAUUUUUGGUUGUGAUAAGAUAUAUGGGGAGGGACACACACUAAAAAUCACAAUGAGGUUAACUGCAUAUUCAAGAGCAAGCCCUCAAGCUUUCCCUAGCCAUAAAGAAUUCCAGAAUGUCACAGGCAGCCUUGCUAUAUUACACUCCUUUUCAUCUCUGCCUGGUGAGACUUUUUGUGUGUGUACCUUGGCAACCCCACAGCUACCCUGUGAAGCACGUUGCAUUGGGAACAUUUAUCACAUUAUGUGCUGAGGAAAAUAAAAGAAAUGGGAGUUGGCUGAACGAAGCAAAGUAAAGCAGGGAUUGUUGACCAAGGAGUUUAAUUGCUAACUCUCAGAUAAUACCCAUGUGGCAAACACAUUUGUCACUGGAUUAAAAUAUUAGGUGUGUUUCUCUUUGGAUGUGUUUUAAAGAAAAUUAGGAGUUGUCUUAAUAUGUUGUCAGGAAACACACUUAGCGAUAGAGUAUAAAUCAACACUUUUGGUAGAAAAUCAGUGUGCAUUUGAAUUAAUAGUAAUUCCCGUGCUUUCAAAAUGUGCAAUAUUUAGAAAUGAUGUAAGCUCAUUUUUGAUUAUUAGGUUUAAAAACAAUUUACUUUUGAGUAAUUGGCUCGGGGUAAUAAUAGUUGAAGGCAUUACUGCUUGGGCAUUGUAAUAAUAAUAAUUAUUAUUAUUACAGCUACUGUUUAUUACUGACUUUGUGCUAAGUACUUUACAAGCAUUAUUAUACCACUUAAGCCAUACAACAACCAUAUGAGCUGGUACUGUUAGUUUAUGAAAUUUAUUUUACAGAGACCUACUUAACUGGAACAGAAACCGGGCACUACUAAGUGGCAGGGCUGGAAUUCACGCCAAGAUAUGUAUGUCUUGGUCAUUUUGUCUCUAGGCUUUGCUCUGUUAUGACAUUUAUUCUCUGACCUUACUGUCUCCAUGCCUCAGUUUUCUCUGUGUAAAAUAAGAAUAAUUAAUACCAUCAAUCUCACUGGGAUUUAAAGAUUAAAUGAGACAAUACAUGUAAAGCUCAUAGCAAUGCCAAGUACAUAGACAAUAUUCAAGUGAAUUUUAGUUACUAUAAUUACUGCUUCUGAGCACAUUAAAUUAUAUAUAUUAGAAAUUUUUACUACUUUUGUUGUUUUCCUGAAAAUCAGCCAACUUGCCCUUGAACUACCUUUCUUGUAGUAGCUUGACCAAGAGCUGACCUACCCACAACCUCUUAAUUGUCUUCAACAUCUCAUAUCAGCUAGCUGGUGCACAGGGGUACAAUCUAUAAAAAUAGAAUAAAGCAAAGCCUAAAUGUCCCAUAGGGAAAAUACAUUCAUAGCUACAGUUUUGUAACAAUGUACUCUUUUCAGCUAAAUAAUCAAAAUCCGUGAAAAGGAAAGAAGGUUUUCAGCAACAGGUUCUUUGAGAAGAAUAUGGUUCAUUAAAACCACAACUUUCCAAAGUAGGGCAGCAAAAUCAGGACCAACAUAGGAAAAUUCAUGAAGGUCCAUUGGUAUGAGAAUUUCCAAGAUGGGGGGUCAUCCUCCUGGUCUUUGCUUUCCCGUAUUUUCAGGAGGUUGCCAUUUUAAAUCUGAUGUGGGAAUAUUACUUAACAACAAAAAGGAAAGAACUAUUGAUACCUGCUAUGAUGUGGAUAGUUUUAAAAUAAUUAUAUCCACACUUGAAGCCAGGAGUUCAAGACCAGCCUGGGCAACAUAGUGAGACCCUGUGUCUGCAAAAAAUUUAAAAAUUAGCUGGGUGUGGUGGUACACAUCUGUAGUCCUAGCUACUUAGGAAGCUGAGGCAGGGGGAUGGCUUAAGCCCGGGAGUUCAAGGCUGCAGUGACCUCUGAUUAUGCCAUUGCACUCCAGCCUGGGCAACAGAGCA
rnacentral:lncRNA from 10 species